AAAUAGAUUUUUUGGUAACUAGUAGUAAAUGUUAGUUGACUGACAUUGUGAGUUGUGUUUAAAAAACUGAAAACUAACGACAAGGCCUUUAAGUUUUUUAGUGGAAUAUUGUAUAUUUAUUGUUUUGGGUUCCAAGAACAACUUAUAUUAUGAAACAAAUAUUUUUUUGGCAAAACUGCUUACAUAACGAAACGGAGGGAGUA
rnacentral:lncRNA from 1 species